GUUUCAUUUCAGAUGUUGAACAACAUUCUUUCUUGCUCAAGGAUAAUAUUAUGCGACCUUUUGUACUGGAAGGGUAAGGUGACGUAAGAUUUGAUAAAUAUUAUGAUUUCGGUGUCUGCCUCGGUGUUCUCCAACGUUUUAAUUCCCUGGCUACCAUUGCAGAUUUCAAAUCCACCUUUCAAAAGUUGCUGAAUCUGAUUUACUUUAAGUCCACAAUGUGUCCUUGUAUGUAGCUGAAUUGCCCUCUGUAAGAUGGAAGGCCAGUAGCUUAACCACAGUUCCUUUUAAUACUUCCUUUAACAAGGCUUAGAAGCCAAUAACCCACAUUUACUUUCAGUUUGAAAGCCUCAGAAAAUGGCAGGAAAGUCAGGAAUCAAAAUAUAGAAGAUAAAACUCAUCAAACAGUGACAAAUCAUAAUGCUGUUCUAAGACCUGCUUUCCCACAAGAAGCUCUUUGUUUGUUGCUCAGGUCAAUGUUUAGUGGUUUCUGAACUUUAAGGAGAGUCCAUCAUGCUACAGCAGAGGGGUGGAUUUAAAAGAAUGGCGUAAGAUGAACCUUGUGUUUCUUGUCGUGGUGGGAGGGAAGGAGAAGUUCAGAAGAAUGUCUCACUGGUCAGCUAGUGAUUAAUCCCACAUGACUUGUUUGCUUCCUGGUCUUUUCUCCUGUCAGAUUCCAGGUAUCUUCUGGUGAUUGGGAUGAGGAAGUGUGAAGGCAGCGGGCUAAGCCUUUCCUCAGCUGAGCAAACACACACACAGACCCCCAGAGGAUGUUCAAGCCGUUUUUUGCCUCCAGCAACAAUCUGACCAGUACGGAGUCCCUUCUCAUACUGACUUAUCUACGUGUUGUCUGGGGCCUCUGUUCCUGGACUCUCCGGGUGCCUUACCUGACUGCUCCCCAUUCAGAAGCAGAAAGCACCCCCUUUGACACAUUUCUUCUUUCCUUUUCUGCUUCCUCCUCUCAAUCCCUUGGCCUUGUGGCCAGUUCUCUUCCUCUGAAGUUUCUUUAUCCUCCUGUGUCACAGCCUCUGGCACGGGUGGCCAUUUUCUGUUAUGAGCUUGACAGGGACAAGUGGAAGCCCAGGCGCUAAGCGUGUAAUGGAACAGGAAAGAGCAGACUCUCCAAAGGAAAUCAGUAUGAGUUUUUUUUUUUCUAGCUUACGUUCUUACCUUAUGCUGAAAGAGUGCCUGGCUCCUGCUCAGAUGAGUUCCAUACAAAACUUUCCAUGCUAUUACUUUAUUAUUGGGCUUUCCGGGCUCCAGGAACAGAAGGAACAGGGGAAAAAAAUUUACUUGUAACAUACUUGUAUAGCACUUGACAAAUUUCCAAGUUCCUCCCUCAGUGUAGUAGAUACCUAAGAAGUAUUUGUUGAACUGAAUGUAAAACUGCUUACAUGUGCUUCCUCGUGUAUCGCUAUCGGAAACACUUGUGACAUAGGCAGGACUGCUCAUGAAUCUUCUCUUUAUAGACUCAGACUGUUGUGUCCCCAAGGUGACAAAGCUGGAGAGUGGCAGAGCUGAAACUGGAACUCUGAUAUUUUUUUUUUAAACUCUGUUCAGUGUUCUUUCCGAUUUUUGUGACUUAUCAUCCACCCACAGACUUAUUUGUGAUGAGUUCCUCUUGCUCCGGGAGGCUGGCAUGGAGAUGUUAUGUACCUGAUUUCAGGAUAAAUAUUUCCAAGUUUAAGAUAUCAUCCUCUCAGUAACGGAACUUCAAGCAAAACCCGCUCUGGAAGAUAUACAUGAUAAAAGCACCCUGUCAACCACGGACACAUCCCACAGCCAUUUCCCCCUUGUGACAGCUCAUAAAAUGCUGCAUAAUAGUUCCUGUGUGAGUAUGAGAAAAUACUGAAACAACGUCAAGAGAAUCAAGCAAAAGGCAACUGGUCCCCUGGAUCCGUCUUCAUUGGGUCCCACUGGACAACUUUUUUUGCCGGAUGAACGGUAGAGGCUGGUAAUACCACAGACAACAUUCCAGGAUAGCAAAAAUUUAAGAUGUUACCUGAAGGAAUUUCCGGAGCCCUACUCUAAACCCAAUCCUGAAGAUGUCACAGAAGGGAGAAAGAAAAUGGUGGAUCUAAGAAAAUAUUGGAAAAACUGAAAAGUCCCUGGAGAGACAGAAGUUGGCUCCGUUCUGAGUCCUAGCUGAAGCAACGACCAACUAGAAAAUGCAUUAGAAAUCCAGGCAUCAUCCAGAAGAGCAUUAAAAAACCUAAGGAAGACAUUGGAGAAUUCGUAUGCUAUUUUAGCUGGCUCUGUGAUUGCAAUCACACAAAUCACUCCAUUCCAGAGAGAUUUCACGAACAGGAGGUUUUUCCAUUUCAGCCUUUCAAGUAGGAAAAAAGGAGGAAGAAGAAGAGGAAGAAGAGUUGAAGGAGAAGGAAGAAAAGGAAAAAAAUGGGAAGAUAUUGAGCACCCCUAUGAGGAUGCAAGUUCCAGGAAGACAAGAAUUAUUGUCUAUUUUGUCCACUGUUAUAUCCUCAGUGCCAGAAGAGAUAAUAAACAGGAUCAGAGAGGUCAUCACAGAUGAUGUCACGUAUCCAAGUCUGGAAGACUGAAGAACAUUUCAGCAUGCAGACAAAGGUAGAAAGAACACAGGUAAAGCAGAGGCCUGACAGUAUUGAGCAUGAGUCUGAAGGGACAAGAGUUGAAGUGGUCUGAAGGAGUGAAUAUAAAGAGGUUCCCAAUGGGAGCCACAUCAUUGCCAAGAAAGGGAUCUAUCCUGGCCUGAUAGAACAGGAAGCGUGAGCCGAAUGAGGCCACAGCAAAGAUGUAGCAGGUGAGGACAGUGUGGGUGUAGAAUGUCUGUGAAUCACAUUCCUGGGCAAGAUCAACGGGAAGGAUGUGGUAAUAAUAUGGAGGCGACUGUGUUAGAACUAGCUGUCCCCAAGGCUCUAGGUGGAACUGUGGAGUGAAAGGCUCAUUUAGACCGGCUCAAAAUGUCCCUUUUCAGCAAUCCAGCCUACAAGUCUGAAUCGCAAAACUUUCGAUCUAGCGGUAGGAUUACUUUGAAAUUGCCUCACUAGAGUGGGGGGCCUGGUCUUGGGUGACAGGGAUGGUGGGGAGCAGCCUUGGCUUGGUAGUAUGACUGGAGAAUACACCUCCAAGUGGUACUAAUGAAAGGUUUAAAAUCUUCCAGGCCAAUGUGUUAUCCCAAGAGAUCAAUGAAAGCCCUGGUGCAAAACA